CCAGCCAAGGUUGGCAGCGGCGGCCGGAAAUGAGGGGAGGGCCUUUUUAAAAAGACCCCAGGAAUGCUCUCCCCUCUUCCCCGCCCCCCCCCAAAAAAAAUCAAGGGGAAGCUCAACUUCUCAGGGUCUUUUUUCUCUUUUCCCAAGUAGCAGGGCCAAAGAUUUCUUCUAAAUGAACUAUAAUUCAUUUACAAGCAUAGCAAGGAUUUUGAGUUUUACCAACAAUUUUCUUUUUCUUGGUACCCUCUGCUUCUACCGUAGUUUAACCCUGAUGGAAAAGGAGGAUGCCGUUCGGUUCCCAUCAAGACAAGAAUCGGGUUGGGGAGCAAAGAGGAGAGAUAAAUGUGUCUAGGACUGUGCUGGAGAGCUAGGCAACAGUUGUGAGCAUAGCUGUCACUUCUAGAACUAACCAAAUCCUUGGGAAGUGGGCAAGCUAAGAUUCUGAGAUGUGAGGCCAUUCAUUCACGAUCACACAGGGGAUACAGGCGGAGCUGGGAUAAAGGAGCCUUUUUGUGGAGAGAGGCCAGCAAUGGGACAGUGAAUUCUGUACAGCUUUCAGGAGUUUGGUGAUCUCUCCCAGCCCAAGCUCCAGAUAAGAACAAGCCAAUCCAUGGUUUCAGGUCUGAGAGACCCUGGCCAGAUCACCAUAUCUUGUUCGACCCUGAUCUGCAGAAGCUAUGGGAUUCUCGGAAUUGAUUCAUGGCAUGUGUGCUGCAUGUGCAUGUCCUGUUGCAAGUGUGGAGGUCAGAGGACAACAUUCAGGAGUCAGUGUUCUCCAUUAAUGUGGGUUCCAAGGAGCAAACUCCGAUCAGCAGUU